GGACCCCUCCCUUGCCCGUGGCACCCUCACGUGGACCCCUCUUCUCACCCGUGGCACCCUCCCUCACAUGGACCCCUCUUCUCACCCGUGGCACCCUCCCUCACGUGGACCCCUCCCUCGCCAGCUCCCCACCCUCCCUCCGCUAUUGGCCCCAUUCCCUGUGGAAGUGCAGCCAUCUCUCUCCUCCCACGUAGGGCUGGAGCCCCAGGGAGCUGUCACUAUCCACGCUCUUCCAUCUCUCCCUGGGAUCCGCGUCACCCGGCUUUCACCCCGCACCCCGCCCCAUGAUCCAGCAGGGGCUCCCGGGACGGCUUCCUCCCGCCCGGCUCAGCAGCAGCUUCUGGGGCUCACCGCGGGAACCUCUGCCCCGGGGUCGCCCCGACUCACUCCUCUGUUUCCUCCUCCUCCGAGCGCCACCCUGAGGGGUCUGGGCCACAUCAGCACCACCCCGGAGGCAGUACCGCAGCCAGGAAGAGAAACGACGACUCUGGUGUGACGCCCAGACUGAGGCCUCCACACACGCGCGACUGCGACAAUCACUCGUCACUGUUUCCAGAAUCCUCCCACGCAGGACUGCGGUACUCGAGGCACAGGUGAUUCUCAGAACACGGAGGUGGGCACCCACCAAGCAGCGAGCCAGAGGCUGCUUGCCUGUCCUCGGCUGCGCGUGGCCCGGCCCGGCGUGUGGGACGCCGCUCUUGGCGGCCUUCCCAGGGCAAGGGGGAGGCCGCGGUCCGGGCCGGCCGACUGGGCGGGGCCGGGGCCCUGGGAUGGCUUUUGACGUCUCCUUACCCACAUGCCCCUUACUCCACUCACUUCACUGUCACGAAAACUGCUAGAGAUCAUCCUAACACAGCCUCAGACAGCACUGGCUAAACACCAACAUGGCAUUCUGGGAGCCAGGGGCAGGGCCUGCUCCUCCCAGAGAUUUGGGUUUUGUCCUGGGGAACCAGGAAGCUGCGUCCCAAGGCCCUGACACCUCACCCCGCCCGGCAGGAGGCAGCCUCCCAACACCGCCCGCCCCACCCCAUUUGGUCUCUGGAUCCCAUUUUAACAUCUGCCUCUUUUAAGACGCAAAUGUCAAAGGGAGUGGUUGUGCAAUCUUGGGAGCCGGGCAACUAUUUAAAGAGCUGAUUAAAAUUAGAAGAGGCCAGGAAGAGGGCAUCUGAGCUCGGGUCCUCCUGAACCACCAGCCCCUGGCAGCCCUCAGCCAGCUUCCUGCGCUCAGAGGCCCGGAGCAGACUUCCGGAGGAACACUAAACUCCUUAAUCCGAUAAAGAGAUUUCAAGUGACCUGCCAGGAAGUGACAGAGAGUCGCUGGCCUACACAGGAGACCCUUCUUUAGAUCACACAGAUCAGGCAGGGGGUUAUUGAUGGCAAAAACCACAACCAAACUGUGGAGUGCAGGGACGGAGGCUGGCGAGGUACAGUGGGGAGAGAGAACCCGUGGCCUUUCUGCUUGGAUCCUGUGUGAGCGAGCCCCCGCAGGAUCAUGACUGCCACUCAGUGCAAAGCCAAUACCCAACCCCGACCCACCGGCCCUGCCAAAGCCAGGCUUCGCUUCUGCAAUCCACGAACUUGGCGCCCAAACCUUGGCGGUCAGGAGCACUGAUCCUUCCCAAUACUACAGCGCUCACGCCUCACGCCGACGCUCCGGGCCCUCCGCUCGGAACGCCAGCGAACACACAGAGCGGGGAGUGGGGCACGGGCAGAGGGCAGCCUCACUCGUGUCCUGGAGGAUCUGGGUCACGGGUCAGAAACACCAACGCCUUCGGCACAUCCACCGAGUCAUCUCAGAGCUCAGCUCCACGUGGUGAGAUUGUAGAAAGUGAUUAUUUUAUUAAAAUAAAAACUUUAAAAUCACAAGGUGACUCA
rnacentral:lncRNA from 1 species